rnacentral:rRNA from 1 species
AGUGAACGCUGGCGGUAGGCCUAACACAUGCAAGUCGAACGGCAGCACAGUAAGAGCUUGCUCUUACGGGUGGCGAGUGGCGGACGGGUGAGGAAUACAUCGGAAUCUACUUUUUCGUGGGGGAUAACGUAGGGAAACUUACGCUAAUACCGCAUACGGCCUACGGGUGAAAGCAGGGGAUCUUCGGACCUUGCGCGAUUGAAUGAGCCGAUGUCGGAUUAGCUAGUUGGCGGGGUAAAGGCCCACCAAGGCGACGAUCCGUAGCUGGUCUGAGAGGAGGAUCAGCCACACUGGAACUGAGACACGGUCCAGACUCCUACGGGAGGCAGCAGUGGGGAAUAUUGGACAAUGGGCGCAAGCCUGAUCCAGCCAUACCGCGUGGGUGAAGAAGGCCUUCGGGUUGUAAAGCCCUUUUGUUGGGAAAGAAAAGCAGCAGGUUAAUACCCCGCUGUUCUGACGGUACCCAAAGAAUAAGCACCGGCUAACUUCGUG